rnacentral:rRNA from 1 species
UAGAGUUUGAUCCUGGCUCAGAUUGAACGCUGGCGGCAUGCCUUACACAUGCAAGUCGGACGGCAGCGCGGGCUUCGGCCUGGCGGCGAGUGGCGAACGGGUGAGUAAUACAUCGGAACGUGUCCUGGAGUGGGGGAUAGCCCGGCGAAAGCCGGAUUAAUACCGCAUACGCUCUGCGGAGGAAAGCGGGGGACCUUCGGGCCUCGCGCUCAAGGGGCGGCCGAUGGCAGAUUAGCUAGUUGGUGGGGUAAAGGCCUACCAAGGCGACGAUCUGUAGCUGGUCUGAGAGGACGACCAGCCACACUGGGACUGAGACACGGCCCAGACUCCUACGGGAGGCAGCAGUGGGGAAUUUUGGACAAUGGGGGCAACCCUGAUCCAGCAAUGCCGCGUGUGUGAAGAAGGCCUUCGGGUUGUAAAGCACUUUUGUCCGGAAAGAAAGCGUCCUGGCUAAUACCUGGGGCGGAUGACGGUACCGGAAGAAUAAGCACCGGCUAACUACGUGCCAGCAGCCGCGGUAAUACGUAGGGUGCGAGCGUUAAUCGGAAUUACUGGGCGUAAAGCGUGCGCAGGCGGUUCGCUAAGACCGAUGUGAAAUCCCCGGGCUUAACCUGGGAACUGCAUUGGUGACUGGCGGGCUAGAGUAUGGCAGAGGGAGGUAGAAUUCCACGUGUAGCAGUGAAAUGCGUA